GACCGCCUAGCUCAGUUGGAAGAGCAUUGGGCUAGUAUUCCAAAGGUCGUAGGUUCGAAUCCCACCGUGGCCG
rnacentral:tRNA from 1 species